rnacentral:rRNA from 1 species
GACGAACGCUGGCGGCGUGCUUAACACAUGCAAGUCGAACGGAAAGGCCCUGCUUUUGUGGGGUGCUCGAGUGGCGAACGGGUGAGUAACACGUGAGUAACCUGCACCUGACUUUGGGAUAACUUCAGGAAACUGGGGCUAAUACCGGAUAGGAGCUCCUGCUGCACGGUGGGGGUUGGAAAGAUUCGGCGGUUGGGGAUGGACUCGCGGCUUAUCAGCUUGUUGGUGGGGUAGUGGCUUACCAAGGCUUUGACGGGUAGCCGGCCUGGGAGGGUGACCGGCCACAUUGGGACUGAGAUACGGCCCAGACUCCUACGGGAGGCAGCAGUGGAGAAUAUUGCGCAAUGGGCGGAAGCCUGAUGCAGCAACGCCGCGUGCGGGAUGACGGCCUUCGGGUUGUAAACCGCUUUCGCCUGUGACGAAGCGUGAGUGACGGUAAUGGGUAAAGAAGCACCGGCUAACUACGUG